rfam:Triticum aestivum genome assembly, contig: Triticum_aestivum_CS42_TGACv1_scaffold_249217_3DL
UUACUACUCCCUCCGUCCAAAAAUACUUGUCAUAGAAAUGAAUACAAAUGGGUGUAUCUAGAACUAAAAUACAUCUUGAUACAUCCAUUCCUUGGACAAGUAUUUUCGGACGGAGGAAGUACUAC